UGCCUGAUGGUGUAACUGGCAACACGUCUGACUCUGAAUCAGAAGAGUCUAGGUUCGACCCCUAGUCAGGCAACAA
rnacentral:tRNA from 5 species